rnacentral:rRNA from 1 species
UACGAAGGGUGCAAGCGUUACUCGGAAUUACUGGGCGUAAAGCGUGCGUAGGCGGUUUGUUAAGUCUGUCGUGAAAGCCCCGGGCUCAACCUGGGAAUGGCGAUGGAUACUGGCGAGCUAGAGUACGGUAGAGGAGAGUGGAAUUCCCGGUGUAGCAGUGAAAUUCGUAGAUAUUCGGAAGAACACCAGUGGCGAAGGCGACUUACUGGACACGUAUUGACGCUGAGGUGCGAAAGCGUGGGAGCAAACAGG